rnacentral:rRNA from 1 species
CCUACGGGAGGCAGCAGUGAGGAAUAUUGGUCAAUGGACGGAAGGCUGAACCAGCCAAGCCGCGUGAAGGACGAAGGUGCCAAGAGUUGUAAACUUCUUUUGUCAAGGGACAAAAUCAGGCUCGAGAGCCUGACCGAAGGUACUUGAAGAAAAAGCAUCGGCUAACUCCGUGCCAGCAGCCGCGGUAAUACGGGGGAUGCGAGCGUUAUCCGGAUUUAUUGGGUUUAAAGGGUGCGUAGGCGGGCGGUUAAGUCAGCGGUAAAAGCCCGGGGCUCAACCCCGGCUAGCCGUUGAAACUGGUUGUCUUGAGAUUUCGAGAGGUAUGCGGAAUG